GAUGAACGCUAGCGGCAGGCUUAAUACAUGCAAGUCGAGGGGUAGCAAGAUUGUAGCAAUACAAUUGUUGACGACCGGCAAACGGGUGCGGAACACGUACACAACCUUCCUACAAGUGGGGAAUAGCCCAGAGAAAUUUGGAUUAAUACCCCGUAACAUAGCGAUGUGGCAUCACAUUGCUAUUAUAGCUUCGGCGCUUGUUGAUGGGUGUGCGGCUGAUUAGAUAGUUGGCGGGGUAACGGCCCACCAAGUCUACGAUCAGUAGCUGAUGUGAGAGCAUGAUCAGCCACACGGGCACUGAGACACGGGCCCGACUCCUACGGGAGGCAGCAGUAAGGAAUAUUGGACAAUGGACGCAAGUCUGAUCCAGCCAUGCCGCGUGAAGGAUUAAGGUCCUCUGGAUUGUAAACUUCUUUUAUAAGGGACGAAAAAAGGUCUUUCUAGAUCGUCUGACGGUACCUUAUGAAUAAGCACCGGCUAACUCCGUGCCAGCCGCCGCAGUAAAAC
rnacentral:rRNA from 1 species